rnacentral:rRNA from 1 species
UACGUAGGGGCUAGCGUUGUCCGGAUUUAUUGGGCGUAAAGAGCGUGUAGGCGGCCAGGUAGGUCUGCUGUGAAAACGUCGAGGCUCAACCUCGAGACGUCGGCGGAAACCAUCUGGCUAGAGUCCGGAAGAGGAGAGUGGAAUUCCUGGUGAUAGCGGUGAAAUGCGCAGAUAUCAGGAAGAACACCCGUGGCGAAGGCGGCUCUCUGGGACGGUACUGACGCUGAAGACGCGAAA